rnacentral:tRNA from 1 species
GGUUCCGUAGUGUUGUGGUUACAAGCUCGCUUCACAUGUGAGAGGCCCAGGGUUCGAGCCCCAGGAGAAUCA